ensembl:lncRNA
CUCACCUGUGACCACCCAGCUCGAGACAACAGAACUGCCAUGCUGCUGUGUCCACCCAGACAGCAGACCUACCUGCUGUUUUCAUCAAUCACUGUGCUGACAGAGCAGACUCGUGACUAUCGUAAAAGGACAUUUCAAUCAUGUGAAACAUCCUGUUUGGGGGCCCCACAGUGAGAGCGGGACGUCAGUCAGGCUGCCCGGGACCACCCCGGCCACAGGACUCGCCGGAGGCAGCCUUGAAGAAGCUCAAUAACCAGUUUAUGAAUUUCACAGGCAACACAUAAACAAUUAAAGACCUCUUCUGAGGCUCCCUACUUCCCACGCUGAUCCUGAGGCUGCUUCCCCUAAAAACGUGCUUGCAUGGAGUUUCCUCCACCACCAAUGAACAGGGCGAGCGGCACUGCUUUCACAUCACGCCAGAAAAUGAAAGCCCCGUCUCAGGGCCACUUCAGAUCCCUGAGACUUCUAAGUACUGAUGGUCCUUCCCAACUCAAGGUCACCCAGGCUUCUUGGCUCAAGAUGAAAGCAGUUUCAUCGGGAUUUCCUUUGGCUUCAGUUUCCAGGAGCUGGUUCAUCGAUGCGCAUGUGACCCCAGCAGAAGCUUCUCUGGAAUUGCUGUAUGGACACUGGAAUUGCGAACCUGAGCAAAUGGGGGCCUGGAGCCCGUCUCAUCUGCCGUGUGGAGAAUAAGUUUGCGUCAGGAGGCCCAAGAGCAGUAGAGCCGAGCGGGGGAGGAGCGAGCCCUGCUCCCGGCCUGAGGACGCCUUGGAGCGGGUCUGAAGCCGGAUCCUCCCCUGGACAUCUUGUCACAGCGCCCAACGAUGUCCCAUUUCGCUCAUACCAGUUCAAGUGGGGUUUCUGUCAGGACUGAAGGCGCCCUGCCUGCUCUUGUCUAAUCUGAGGCCCCGUCUCUGUCACUCAGUCCGCCCCCCGCGGGGCUCAGUGGUCUUGUGAUGUUCUUAACAAACACCUGGUCUUGACAUGUCCCUGCUCAAUGUCCUAAACGCCUGUCGCCCACACGAUAAAAUAUAAACUCUGCACGCGGCGUUCCAGGCCUGCCACGAUGUGUCUCCUCCUGCCCGUGGGGCCUGUCUCCAGCCACUCUCCCUCCCAGAUUUUGACCGAGUGACAUUGAACUUGCUGGUCCCAAGCUCUCCCUGGCCUCUGAGCCUUUCUCCAGUUCUGUAUUCCUGAGAUGCCCUCCCCCUGCUUUGAGCUCAAAUGUCAUCUCCUCUGGAAAGUUUUCUUUUGCUUCCUUAGAUAGAAUUUAUUGCUUAUUCUCCUCUGCUCCCACGCUGUCCCCAUUUGGGUAAUCUUAUAGCAUGUCUUCGUUUUGGCCUUCUGUGACAGAGUAUCAGCUCGCUGAGAGCAGGGGAAGGCGUCUGUCUGCUGUCUUCACGCUUGGCCAGCAAAGCGCUCAAUGGGCACUCAAUAAACAUAUGGUGCAUGAGAGAAUGAGCGAAGGGUCAACACCAUCUCAGAGAGAAACCCCUCUCCUGGCUUCUCUCCAUACGCAGCUCCUCACCACCCAAUUUCCCCACAGGUUCUUAAACCUGUGCCAAAACUUAAAACUCCGUGUCUUUUCAAGACUACAGGUGUCUUAAAAGUCCUUAUCUGAGAUUUAAUGUUCUCAUAAGGCUUCUGAGGCAAGAGCCAGUUCUGAAGCCCAUUGGGCCUGCUGGACACCACAGCUGAAGGCACGUUGUGGACUGGGGAGAGAGGCUCCAGCCCUAACUUCCCUUAAUUGUUUACAAAAGUAUAAGCAUCUUUAAGAGGAAAGGAAUUGAAUACAAGAUACGUCAGAUGGUCCAUCAGGCUGAAGGGGCCCCUGCGGUGUGGACUGACUGUCCUCGGUUGCCUUAUCAGGUGGUGACAGUGACAACUCUCAGAACCUCAGUCGGUUUUCUCUGGGCUAAGACCCACAUGCUCCAUGGCCAUUUGGGAAGGGAGUGUAGGCUUGUUGGCUUUCCUGUUGUGUAGUGUGUGGUUUCUCUUACUGGCCAUCAGAGUAGAGCCCUGAAAGAGAGCUAGGUCCCUUCUUGCUAACCCCUGACACAGAGGUGCAGACACUAACCUAUGACGUUAGAUAGCUCUCGUGCAUACUGAUGGCUGAAUCAAAGCGGGGGGGAAAUGGGAGGCCACUGUAAAGGCAUAAGAAUACCUUUCAUUUACACUUUCUGGGGAACUAACCAGUAUCCUGUUAGCCUGAAAAAGUUAUUGAAACUUCCCAGAGGUGUCCAACUUACCCCCAGGAAAUAAUCUAGAUCUUUUCACGUUAUUUCAUUAUCUCAUAUGAUCUCACAAUUUUUCUGAGAAUAAGGUAGAGCAAGCAGGUGUGCUUUUUAUUUUGAAGAAAGAGAAAUGGACACAGAGGGAUUAAGAAGGGCAUUUCCCAAGGCUUGAGAGGGACCAUGCAGCCAGGGAGAGAAGGCCACUCUUGAGUCCAGCCCACGGGUCUUCAACCUUUGCUGCCUGCAUAGCCCCCAGAAGAAAGUGUAAAACUAGGUACUCCUCAUACAUUUCUAAGCUGACUUCAAAAUUUGUCCAUAAUGUGUUUAAAGAAUUGCAAAGAAAACAUUUCCGGAACUUUCUAAAUAUAAACAUUUAAAAAAUAUAUCUGAUAUAGCCAAUGGAAUGUAUCUUAUAGAUGUAUCCAUUGGAAUUUAAAUACAAAGCAAUUUGACUAUUGUAUCCAUUUAAACAAAAAUAAAUGAGCAAGAACUUCUUUAACUGUUAGAAAUUUUAUAUCAUUUAUUUAUUCUUGAACUUAUAUUUACAUUCCACUUCCCCCUCAGAAU